CCUACGGGAGGCAGCAGUGAGGAAUAUUGGUCAAUGGACGAGAGUCUGAACCAGCCAAGUAGCGUGAAGGAUGACUGCCCUAUGGGUUGUAAACUUCUUUUAUAUGGGAAUAAAAUGUUCCACGUGUGGGAUUUUGUAUGUACCAUAUGAAUAAGGAUCGGCUAACUCCGUGCCAGCAGCCGCGGUAAUACGGAGGAUCCGAGCGUUAUCCGGAUUUAUUGGGUUUAAAGGGAGCGUAGGUGGAUUGUUAAGUCAAUUGUGAAAGUUUGCGGCUCAACCGUAAAAUUGCAGUUGAAACUGGCAGUCUUGAGUACAGUAGAGGUGGGCGGAAUUCGUGGUGUAGCGGUGAAAUGCUUAGAUAUCACGAAGAACUCCGAUUGCGAAGGCAGUUCACUGGACUGCAACUGACACUGAGGCUCGAAAGUGUGGGUAUCAAACAGGAUGAGAUACCCUAGUAGUC
rnacentral:rRNA from 1 species